rnacentral:rRNA from 1 species
GAUGAACGCUGGCGGCGUGCCUAAUACAUGCAAGUCGAGCGAACAGAUGAGGAGCUUGCUCCUCUGACGUUAGCGGCGGACGGGUGAGUAACACGUGGAUAACCUACCUAUAAGACUGGGAUAACUUCGGGAAACCGGAGCUAAUACCGGAUAAUAUAUUGAACCGCAUGGUUCAAUAGUGAAAGACGGUUUUGCUGUCACUUAUAGAUGGAUCCGCGCCGCAUUAGCUAGUUGGUAAGGUAACGGCUUACCAAGGCGACGAUGCGUAGCCGACCUGAGAGGGUGAUCGGCCACACUGGAACUGAGACACGGUCCAGACUCCUAUGGGAGGCAGCAGUAGGGAAUCUUCCGCAAUGGGCGAAAGCUUGACGGAGCAACGCCGCGUGAGUGAUGAAGGUCUUCGGAUCGUAAAACUCUGUUAUUAGGGAAGAACAAAUGUGUAAGUAACUAUGCACGUCUUGACGGUACCUAAUCAGAAAGCCACGGCUAACUACGUG